UAUGAUCCACGGGGGGCAGCAGUGAGGAAUAUUGGACAAUGGGCGCGAGCCUGAACCAGCCACGUAGCGUGAAGGAUGACUGCCCUACGGGUUGUAAACUUCUUUUAUAAAGGAAUAAAGUGAGGCACGUGUGCCUUUUUGUAUGUAUUUUAUGAAUAAGGAUCGGCUAACUCCGUGCCAGCAGCCGCGGUAAUACGGAGGAUCCGAGCGUUAUCCGGAUUUAUUGGGUUUAAAGGGAGCGUAGAUGGGUUGUUAAGUCAGUUGUGAAAGUUUGCGGCUCAACCGUAAAAUUGCAAUUGAUACUG
rnacentral:rRNA from 1 species